rnacentral:rRNA from 1 species
GAGAUUCCCCCAGUAGCGGCGAGCGAACGGGGAGCAGCCCAGAGCCUGAAUCAGUGUGUGUGUUAGUGGAAGCGUCUGGAAAGGCGCGCGAUACAGGGUGACAGCCCCGUACACAAAAAUGCACAUGCUGUGAGCUCGAUGAGUAGGGCGGGACACGUGGUAUCCUGUCUGAAUAUGGGGGGACCAUCCUCCAAGGCUAAAUACUCCUGACUGACCGAUAGUGAACCAGUACCGUGAGGGAAAGGCGAAAAGAACCCCGGCGAGGGGAGUGAAAAAGAACCUGAAACCGUGUACGUACAAGCAGUGGGAGCACAGAGCAAUCUGUGUGACUGCGUACCUUUUGUAUAAUGGGUCAGCGACUUAUAUUCUGUAGCAAGGUUAACCGAAUAGGGGAGCCGAAGGGAAACCGAGUCUUAACUGGGCGUUAAGUUGCAGGGUAUAGACCCGAAACCCGGUGAUCUAGCCAUGGGCAGGUUGAAGGUUGGGUAACACUAACUGGAGGACCGAACCGACUAAUGUUGAAAAAUUAGCGGAUGACUUGUGGCUGGGGGUGAAAGGCCAAUCAAACCGGGAGAUAGCUGGUUCUCCCCGAAAGCUAUUUAGGUAGCGCCUCGUGAAUUCAUCUCCGGGGGUAGAGCACUGUUUCGGCAAGGGGGUCAUCCCGACUUACCAACCCGAUGCAAACUGCGAAUACCGGAGAAUGUUAUCACGGGAGACACACGGCGGGUGCUAACGUCCGUCGUGAAGAGGGAAACAACCCAGACCGCCAGCUAAGGUCCCAAAGUCAUGGUUAAGUGGGAAACGAUGUGGGAAGGCCCAGACAGCCAGGAUGUUGGCUUAGAAGCAGCCAUCAUUUAAAGAAAGCGUAAUAGCUCACUGGUCGAGUCGGCCUGCGCGGAAGAUGUAACGGGGCUAAACCAUGCACCGAAGCUGCGGCAGCGACGCUUAUGCGUUGUUGGGUAGGGGAGCGUUCUGUAAGCCUGCGAAGGUGUGCUGUGAGGCAUGCUGGAGGUAUCAGAAGUGCGAAUGCUGACAUAAGUAACGAUAAAGCGGGUGAAAAGCCCGCUCGCCGGAAGACCAAGGGUUCCUGUCCAACGUUAAUCGGGGCAGGGUGAGUCGACCCCUAAGGCGAGGCCGAAAGGCGUAGUCGAUGGGAAACAGGUUAAUAUUCCUGUACUUGGUGUUACUGCGAAGGGGGGACGGAGAAGGCUAUGUUGGCCGGGCGACGGUUGUCCCGGUUUAAGCGUGUAGGCUGGU